rnacentral:rRNA from 1 species
AGCAGCCGCGGUAAUUCCAGCUCCAAUAGCGUAUAUUAAAGUUGUUGCAGUUAAAAAGCUCGUAGUUGAAUUUCGGGAUUGACACAUCGGUCGUGCCUUAAGGGGUAUGAACUGGUGUAGUCAAUUUCUCACCUUCUGGAGAACCGCGAUGCCCUUAAUUGGGUGUCACGGGGAACCAGGACCUUUACUUUGAAAAAAUUAGAGUGUUUAAAGCAGGCAUUUUGCUUGAAUACAUUAGCAUGGAAUAAUAAAAUAGGACGGCAUGAUUCUAUUUUGUUGGUUUCUAGGAUCACCGUAAUGAUUAAUAGGGAUAGUUGGGGGCAUUAGUAUUCAAUUGUCAGAGGUGAAAUUCUUGGAUUUAUUGAAGACUAACUACUGCGAAAGCAUUUGCCAAGGAUGUUUUCAUUAAUCAAGAACGAAAGUUAGGGGAUCGAAGACGAUCAGAUACCGUCGUAGUCUUAACCAUAAACUAUGCCGACUAGGAAUCAGACGAUGUUAAAAAAAUGACGCGCUCGGCACCUCAUG